AAGAAAUCCUACAAGCCUUGUUUUAACUAUAAAAUGCAGAUAAAUUCAUGUGAAUUUUGACUGAAGAUAAUGGAUCUGGAGACAGUGGUCCCAAGAGCCACCUCAAAGGACCAUGGAGAAGAAUAACAUCAUAUCCACAGAACAUAAUCAUAAAUCCAGAAGUCCACAGUCUAAUGAGAAGAGAGAUAAUUAUCGUGUGUAAUUCAGAUGACAGCUUUCAAAAUCCUGCUUAUUUAAUGCCUACAACUUGAAAGAUACUAAUCAAGGCACUGGGGAAUUCAGC
rnacentral:lncRNA from 1 species